UCCAGAAUAGUCUGUGUUAGAGCUUUUCUGAGGAGCUGCUGUUUCUUUCAGCAUCCAGCACCAUCAGAUAUGGACUGUUCCUCUUUGGACAUGGUAUUGUGUUUUGACUCAAUCUUGUCUGACACUGCUUUUUCUUAGUUUCUCUUCAGUUUCCUUUCUGAGCCGACUCCCAUUUAUAUGAGCACCUAUCUUUUGGGCUCUGCAGCAUUCAGUCCAAUAAAGCCUGUAGACAGUCUCUUUUCCUAAGCCAAGCAGAGCAGCAAUAUUCUAAUGAUCAUUUCUCUCUUGCGUAUUUUACUGAUUGCAUGGGAAUGUAGGUUAGUGAUUUAGUACACCCAUAUCCAAGCAAAAUAAUUACCUAGGUUAUUUCUUUUUUCAUAUUUUUGUUGUAUGUGGCCCCAGGUGAAAACCAAUCUUGGUUCUUGAAUCAAUGUCAGAGUUGCUUAUGCUGAUCUAAUUAUUGUUUCCUUCCCUAUCCUCCACUGAAUUUGGGGCAUGGUGAUUUCUUUUAUUUCAGCAAGUUUGCCACAGGCAUUGGACGAGUUUUUUAGCUGAGAUGAGACAGAGCCUGCUUCAGACAUGGCUUCUAGUGCUCUUUUCUUCCUUUCUUCCAAACACAUGUCUUGCAGCUGGCCAGUAGAUCUUUUUUACCUGAUGGACCAAGCAUUUAGCUGCCUUAAAUGCAAUUAUAUUUGUGUUUUCAUCAGCUCAUCAUUUCACUUUUUUUGCAUAGUUAACUAAGGUAAUUUGCCUUUUUUUGAGUUUCUGUGCUUACCUGCACAGAUGUGGGGGGUUCUCAGACUUAAGAAACUGUUACUUUUUCCCUUAAAGUGAGGAAGUACUGCAGUCCCUGCUGAAGAGCACAUUGGUAGUGUAUUGCAGUAUUGAAAAGGACCUGUUGGUUACAUUUCUAAGUUCAGAAGAGAUUAAUUUACACUUGCCUAAAGGGUGUUCCGUUAGUAUUGCUUAAGUCAUGUCCCCAGACAGUGAACUGUUCCCAUUUCACUCCUUGGCUGAUGUACCAGCCUUACAGCAGACUAAUGAUGGGAUAAGGGAAGCAGAUGGACUUCCCAUGUUUUGAGCCAGCUAGUUCUAGGAAAGUAUUUUCUGGAGGUUGUUGAAGCAUAAGGUCUAAUACCUGUUAGAGAAGAGAGGGUAAGGGGAUUCAAAUCAAAUUAUGAAGUUCAACAAAAGUAAGUGCAGAGCCCUGCACCUAGAGAGGAAUAUGCACCAGUACAAGGUCAAGGGUUGAACUACAGGAAAGCAUCUGGGGAUGCUUGUUCAGAAAUCUCUGAUUAAAAAGGCUUUUGCCUGUAGUGUUUAACACAGCAGAGGAAAAUACUUAAAAUUUUAAUAGUCAUGGGUCUUAUCGUCAUUGGUUGUGACUUGAUUGUAGAGCCGAAUUUCAAACUUGUUUCAUUGUUGCUUGUUGCAAGCAGUUUGAUGUGUAAUAAAAGACAAAUUUUUAAAUUUCUGAAGUUUGCAGAACCUGAACAUCCAAGGAGCUAUUUGAGCAGACUGACCUGAGAAAUGGGAAAGGGAGGGAAGGAGGUAUGCAUUGCAUGGGUUGCAUGUUGUUAAUUGAAAUGAAAAAAUGAAUAGGAAUGUUCCUAAUCAAAGGUAGCAUUGCAAAGGUUUUGUCUGGCAGGAUCUUGUGACUGUCAUGUCUAAAAACAAUGUACUUCUUUCUAUGAAAGCAUUACUUUUUUCCCCAACAACAUGCAUGUGAUGCAGAUGAAAAAUACACUGUCUGUAAUGGCCGGAGCAGAGUCUCCAGCUGAACACCACAUACAGAUUGUGCAGUCACUGCUUUGUCAGUCAGUGAAUGGAGAGGGGUGAUCAUGCUGAUGGAACAGAACUAAUGAAGGCUCAACCUUCCAGACUUCACUAGUUUGGAGCAAGAGCCUGAGGUGUGCAGAGAAAUGUGCAGUGCUCCCAUAUCAGUACAGGCACCUACUCUGACUGCACAGCCUCCCCUCUGCAGCAACACUUUCACUAAUGCUUCUGUGGGACAUCUUUGUUCCAGAGGCAAAAUACAUUAGCAUAAGUACAGCCUGCAUCAUCAAAAUUAUCUGGUGUUUUUUUAGUUGUGGCUUUGAGCCCUAGUGGUAGUGAAUGUGGAAUUAUUUUGAAAGCACAAGGCAAUGCACCAUACCUGAACCUUGUUUCUCAUAGCAUCUGCCUCUGGAAUAUAUGUGGAACAAGAGAAAGCCAUGCAUGAUAUCCCUUGAGAAAAGCUGAGGGAUAUAUGGAUAGGGUGGGAAUGGACGUUUGUAAUAGGGCUUUCACAGGACCCAUGAAAUGGAAACAGCAGAAAAAGCUUUUUCUAAGCUUAGAAUUCUAAAACUUCAAAGGAUCUUGCAGGAAAAUUGUGUUGUAGUCCAGGGAAAGACUUAACCAUUCCUCUCUGCCCCUACCAAUCUCUUUUGGGCCUGUGGGUCUGUCUCGAUCUCUAAUCUUAAUUUCCCUUUAUAUAAGGGGAAAAAAUGGGAAUUGCGGUUCUGAGAAUAGUAACAGGAACAGCAUGUUCACAGGCUCUGAGGAUGGAGGUCACCUAGCCCACUGGAGCGUGUAAAAGCUGCACUUCACGUUGGGUUCUUGGCAGUUGAUAAGCCAAGGAGAAACUGCUGGCUUCUGAUUCCAUUCCUGUUAAUGUGUGUGUCAAAAGUCAGAUCAGCUUCCAAUUUUGAUCACUGUGAUUAGGCAGAAAUGGGUAUUGUUAAAGGAGUUAGAGCAAGUCCAGCUCUUGAAAAUAUGUUGUGACACAUCUGUACUGAGAUUUAAGCGGCAGGAAUUACCACUUCAGGAUUCUAAUGCAAAACCUGAAGAUACAGUCUAGAAUUCUGCAAAAAUUAGUCAUUCCUCUGCUGCUCUGAUGAAAUAAAAUGUCAUACUGCCCCUUGUUUUCAUCAUUUCCAGCAGAGCCAAACCCUUUUGUAGAUGUACCUUAGAAAGCAUAUCACAAAAGCAGUUCUGUGAAAAUAAUUUCUUGUACUUUUUGCAAAAAUUAGGGCAAAGUUAUUGUGAAAAUAGCUGAGAUGAUCCAUGCUGUGCAUGUAAGAAUUAUUUUAAAGAGAUUAUCUGGUUAUGGGAGAAUAUUUUAUUUGGAUUAUGUAGCUACAUAGAAUUUAUAAUUCAUGCCUUCUGCAGGAAAAAAGUUCCCCAGUGCUGCAGUGAGAAAUGUCAGAUCUGAACUUGUACUAACUCUAAGGUUUUAUAUUUGCAACAUUGAAUUCUCAAAGAUUAAUCCCUGAAUUUUGGGAGAAAAUUUCUUCACAUAGAAUCCAACUCAGUAAGAAAAGUUUGUCCCACAAGGUUAACUGGUAGCACAUACAAGAUUAGAGGUGCUUCUGUAGUGACUUUUAGAGAAGUGAUGCUUUCUGCUUGAAAGUUGUGCAUAAGUUGUGCUCCAUUUAACAAAUGGGUGAAUUAGGUGCACACUUCAACUCUUUUCAGUGACUGGGACCCCAGUUGUUGCAUCUGCAUAUGAGAUGGAGGACAUAUUUGCAAUCUCUCUCUUCAACUAUGGUGUUGAAACCAGUAUUUCAUGGUACUGACUCUAAUAGUCCCAAAGUUUUCCCUUGCUUAUGCAAGUGAUUAACCUUUGAAUCAAUGCUUAGUAUAACAUUCAUAGCAGUGCAUGUUUUUGGGAAGCUUGUGGAUAGUGUCCUAGGACUUGGAUGGACAGGCAGAAGGUGCUUUUACUGGGCUAAGAGAUGUGUGUUUGAUGCUGGCUCACUUAAUUUCCUCCUUUUUAAACCAUGGAAACUUCACUGUGUUUGUGAUUCUGAAUGACCAUGGAUAAUUUUAUAAAAAAGCUGUGACGUUAUUCUGUCGUUGCAGAUUUACUUGAUUGCACAAGGUCCUGGCAGCUUUUUGCAAAUCCUAAUUGCUUUGAGGAUCAAGCAUUUUAUUUCUGGUUUCUGAUAUGUCAUAAAGUUUUUUCAAGAUAGGUAGGACCUCAAAACAGAGUCAUGGUGCAUUUUUGUUGACUCUUUUUUUCUAGGCCAGUCAUUUUGUGUUCUGAAAGAUUUUCAAAUGGCCACUGAAGUCUGGCUUGCCAUAUUAAUUAUAACUGGGAGAAAGCUAGAUGCUUUUACCACAGGUAUUCUGCCUUGGUAUCUCAGUUGGUAGUUUUUGCGGAAGCAGCAGCUGAGAGAUUUUGCAUAAAUUCAGAACUCAUUAACAUCACAGGGAACUGCCAGCAGUCAGUUGCAAUGGUGAUAACGUGUUCAUGCUGACACACAGAGAGCCAGGAGGUGUGGAUGAAGCAGGUCUGGUAAAUACCACUCCAAGCUUGAUAUUCUGAAGUGUGUUAGACCCUUGCUGAGUUUUUAUCCCCUUGAUAUUGCAAACUUGUUCUUUUGGUUUAGUGGGGCUAAAGAACUUUAUCUUAGUAGUCUGAAGCUGUACUUCAGGCUGCGGUCUUAAUUGAUAAACAUCACAAAUCUUUUAAUUUUUCAAGGCUGAAGUCAGUUCAUCCCUUUUAUUAUGCAGAAAUAGAAGUGCUCUUCCUGGGGCAUUUCUAGGACAUGGGAUUUAAUUGUGCUGAUUGCCAGCGAUAAUAAAAACAAAACAUUCAGUUUAACUGAUACAUCAUAUGAAAUUUAAUGGUGGUCACUUCUAAAUUAGUAUUUUGGUAAUUUCAGCAGUCCUCAUUCAGCCUUUUUUUUUCCUUUAUUAACAAAUACAAUGCAUCCAAAUCAGUUUUUAGAUGGAUCUAUGUUCUUCAAAGACAGGGCUGCUUCCCUGGAACAUUGUAGUGCUUUCCAUCCUGUAUUGAAGCUCACAGUGAAUGCUCUUAUGCAUCUGUCACUAUUACCAGAAUCAACUUCAAAAUAUUGUUACGCAUAUGGAAAUACCAUCCUUUACUCAAUCCAUCCUCUAUUAGUUCUGUCAGUUGCCAUUUUGUAUUGCUGGAUCAGAUUUUUUAAAAGCUGCUGUUGUCCUUCCCUGAGUUUCUAAGUAAGUUUUGCUGUAUUUGUCAGCAUGACCUCCAGUUAAUGCCUCAAGUGUUUGCCCACAGCUAAAGUCUAUUGUAAGCAAAUAUUGCAUGAACUACAGUCUCACUGUGCAUCAGAUGGUACAGGCAGUGCUUGGAUGGUGAGCACACACAGCACUAAACCAGAGCUGCUUGGUUAGUUUUCGGGAAGAUUCCUGUCUGAAGGAUGAGCCUGUGCUGUGGUCACUUGAGUGGUGGUGGAAUGUACAGUCUUUUUCAGAGUGCAGGAGGCACUCAUAGCCUUGAUGGGGUAGAAACUGUGUAUGGAUAGGACCUCUCCUAAAUGGUGUCAACAGUUCAAGUUAGACACUUCGUAAAGGUUGGAUGGACCAGAUGGAUGUCUUCUGAAGUUAUUUUGAAAGUACUUGCUUUUAUCUUGCAGAUUUUUUUUUUUUUUUUAAGUAAACAACCCUGGAAGUAUAAAAGCUUAAAAAGAGGAGUUGUUGCACUGCUCAUACAAGGACAGGCUAAGAGAAUUGGGAUUGUUCAGCCUGGAGAAGGGAAGGCUUUGAGGUGACCUAAUUGUAGCCUUCCAGUACCUAAAGAGAGCCUUCAAGGAAGAUGGAGGGGAACUUCUUACAAGGGCAUGUGGUGACAGGACAAGGAUGAAUGGCUUCAAACUGAAAGGGAGUAGGUUUAGAUUAGGUAUUAGGAAAAAUUCUUUGCUUUGAGGGUGGUGAGGUACUAGAACAGGUUGUCUGGAGAAAUUGUGGAUGUUCCAUCCCUGACAGUGUUCAAGGCCAGGUUGGAUGAGACUCUGAGCAGCCUGAUCUAGUGGAAAGUUUCCCUGCCCAGGGCCGGGGGGUUGGAACAGGAUGAUCUUUAAGGUCCCUUCCAACCCAGGCCAUUCUAUGAACCUAUGAUUUAGCAGUUCCUGAGUAUGUCCAGUUUCUACCUGUUAAUAUUUACAUAUAUCUUGGUAAUUCCUCUAAAUUAGGUUCUGGAAAGGACUUAGUAACCACUGAGGUUUAUUUAAAACUUCUUUUACUGCUCGCUGGAGUGAAAUAAGUGGCUCUUUAAACCUCGCCCUCCUUCAGUUUGGCAGAUCACCUGGAAAACCACCAGCUAUGUCCAGCUAUUUCAGCCUAAUUAAUGUUUCCUGAUUAGAGUUCCUGCUCUGAAACUCAACUGGAUUUGUUCCAAAAAAGAACAAAAACUUUAUUUAGGGCAGAGGGGUAUACUAAAUGAUGAAUGCACAUCAAAAAGCUCUAAAUUGAGAAUAGAGGUAUCUUUUGGGAUGGAAGGAUUGGUAUCUGAAAUCUAAGCAUCAGUGAUGGAGGGCAAGAGAGAGAAAAACAUCUUAAGGACUCUUAAUGAGCCAUUACCUCUGAUGUCGUGGUAUUGCUUUACUCUGCCACGGGUGCAGUCUGUCUUCAGACCUGGCUGAAAUACAGCAUGAAUUUCAGUUUCACAAAGCUAGUGAGCUGCUGAUAAACCUGCACAUUCCCCAAUACACAGAAGAUCUGUAUCAGUCUCUUUAUAUACCUUGGAAAAUCCUAACCAAACAACCAAAACUCCAAGCCAUUUCAAAGGCUACGUAACUUUGAGUAAAGAGGUGGAAGGCAUUUCCUUUUUACUGAGAUUGGUCUCUGGCCUGUCUUGCAUCACUAAAUUGUGCUGUGUGAAGGGCUGAAAAUCAUGAGUAACCAACUUUCCUAGCCUUGGUAUUGUUUUAUAUUACUCUGAGUAACUCCUGCCUUUACUGCUAUUGUUUGAUAGAGGUCUCUGCUCUGUUGUGUUGGUAGAAUUCCACCACUAGCUAGGAUGAUUUCAUGUUGAAUAGAUGUUUAUAUUUCAACUUUUCUCUCUGGUUUUCUUUCCCUCAUGCCUCUGAUGUCAAGAAAUAAAAAAAAUAAAUGAGAAACCUUUACCUUUUUGUUUUGUUCCAAACCUCAUCUGGUAGGUUUCUGAGAAGAGAAACAUCUUUCCUUGAAAUCUGCCUUAUUUUUAUUAUCAGGUUGGUAUGAUGGAAUGUUUGAGAUUCUUACAGCUGUCAGUGCAUAGAACAUUACUCUUUUAUGUUGCUUUGAGUUGCUGCAAUAAUUUCUUCUGGUAAGAAGGAUACACCUAGUCCCAGUGGAGGUGCUGGUCAUCACUAGUUUUUCCUCAGGUGCUGGCUUUGGUACUGCAACAAGCUUUUGUUGGCUAAUGUUUCCCUUCCAGCAGUACUUGUAGCAGGUGAAAUGUUAGAGCUCUAAGUGUAAGUGUCUAAAAGUAAUACUGUAUGAAAGUGGUCUGGUGAAACAGAAAGGGUUUCACAGUGUAUUGGCUGGCAGUAAUAGUGCACAAAUGUUUCAAUUUAAGGAAAACCAGUUUGUACAUGUACACUGCAGUGGCUGGUUUGUAACAUGCUCAGCAUGUGUUUAAGCUCAGUUUACACAAAUAUGUAAACUUAGCUGCCUUGCCCCUGAUGCAGUGUUGCUGUGUGCUUCUGUCACUUGUUCCAGAGCAAGUUUUAUGGUCACAGUCUUGAAUGUUGCAGAGGUGACUUUGUGAUCAUACAUGCCAGGAAACAUCACAGGACAGGGCACCAACCAGCCCCAGUGUCAGCUGAAUUAUACUGCACACUGUGGGACUCUUGAGGUAAAGCUUUUGAAAACAAACCUGUGGUUCAAAGCUGGGUUAAAAGUUGCUGGUGAAGCAGGUGGCAAGGAUUCCCUCUAUUUGCCAGAGGAUUUGCUCUUAGAAGUCCUUAUCUCCUUCUUAUAACCUGGACAAGGAUUUCUAUAGAUUUAGCAAUGUUUAUGAUGCUGAGCUUGGACUAUUCCCACUAGAACUCGGCCACAGGCCACCUUUACUGUGUUGAAUACCCCUUGAAUUACUGAAGUAUCAAGAACAGCCAGGAUCGUUUAGAGUGCCUUCUUAAAAAUAUUUUCCCUAGCUUUUAUAGAAUGUGCCAAUGGCUUAAUGUGACACAUCCUAUUUUUAAUGCAAACAGCUCCCUUCUGGAUACCUAAUGUUAUCUAGAAAAUGGGCAAGAGAUAGAGCAGCUUUCAGGGCUUGGUAUUUAGAUUGGAGAAAUUAAGCUGCAUUACAAGGUUCAGUGAACAGGAACAUGGACUGCCUCAUGGUGCCUUUGUUGCAGGCUUGCCAUCUGGCUAUUUAUCCAGCGGAUGGUGGGAGGCUUGUGUGGUGGUUCCUUUGCUACCUGCACGCCUCUGACAAGUUUGGGUAUCGUGGAGUACUUCAGGUACUUUAGGGCAUGCAAGGCAAAGCCUUCUUGCAAGCUGUUGUUCUGCUGUUUUGGCAUAGCAGGUACACACGUAGGAGUUAAGAGUUGGACUUGAUGAUCCCUGUAGGUCCCUUCCAACUCAGAAUAUUCUGUGGUUCCCUGUUGAAGCUAAAAAUUGUGCCAAAGCUCCAUCCACUGUGGUCUGCUGAAGGGAUGAGUUAUAAAAUAAAUGCUAAAAUCCUUCUUGUCCAAAUUGUUUUGAGUCUGUUCUGUCUGUGAAGCUGUCUCUAAAGAGCUAUUGGAAAAAGGGGUGAACCUGGAUAACUGGUGCUGAAGGGGUUCAGUUCUGUUCCAAAAUGUGCGGAAUGUGGGUAUGUCACAGAAACAUCCUGUUGAGUCAGAAUCAGUAAAAUUUUCUGGUCAAGACAAGUCUGUUUUUUCCCAGACUUCCAGGAAGGAGUCUCAUGCUCCUCUAGAUUGUUCUUUAUAAGGUUUCAACUUUCUAUAUGCAGUAUUGAUUAAGAACAGGAUAAUUUUGUGGUGCUGUACCAUUGUAUCUUUCAGUAUUCUCAGGUUUGAAUGUUUAAAAAGUAGCUUUUGAACCUGAUAGUUGUACAUAAAUGUCAGCUCUGUGUCAAGAAUAAACAUCUGGUGGGAUGUACACUUUGUUAAUAUUGAUUAAAAUUGCAGCCUCAUUUAAGCAGAGACUGGCAAUACUGCCCUUUUGUUUCUAUGGGCAGCCAACAUGUUGUAAACUCAUUAAUAUUAGAUUUAUAUUUAAUGUUUCCAUUGUCUUUCUGGUACAAACAAGGUUUCUUCCCAUAGAUAAAGAGAGUUCUGAUAGCACUUUGAAGACACUGCAGCAGUGCUAACAAGAUCGGGGAUUUAGAUGUCUGUUCUCAAUUGAUUAUUUUUUAAAUGUCUUUCCAUUGUGGAAGAAGUUUUCUGUUUAAGUCUGUCUUUUCUUCCUGGGGUGGUCAGGGACAAACGCAUUGGCAUCACAAAAUGCCCAUCUUCUGUUUUUAAGGGUGAAACAUGAAUUUGGGGCUCACAUUUCAGCAGUGCCUCCGAGGUUCUGGCAGGUCUCCCUGUGGAGGUAUUGGCCAUCUCCUAAGAAACCAACGCAGAUGAGGGCACAACAAGCCUAAAUUAAUAAACUGUUCAUGUGAACUUGCCCCUAGAGCUCAACAGCUCAUGACUCUCCUAGAAACAGUAGGGAUUCUCCAAUGAAAACAACUCAAAGAAAAAUUAAUUCUAUCCUGACAAUGAAACAGUGUAGGCAACCUUACAGCUCCCAAGAGCUAGACACUUGUUUUCCAGAGAUGAUCUCUAAUGUAAUCCUGCAGCAUUGAUUUUUUUCUUUCUAGCCUCUGAUUGUUCUUGCUGAAGUCAUGGUGGGUAGCAGCCAGCGUGGGCUAGGAAAAGCCUUAUGGAAGUGUGAGGUUGACAUCUUCUGUUUUCCCUGAACACCAGUCCUCUUGUUCAUGCAGACGGGGUUUUGUUACAAGCUAACAUGAUACAAGACCUACAGUUCUGGAAUUCUUUAACUUUUAUAUAGGGAAGAAGUAUAUGAAUAUGCCUUUACCAGAAACAAAAAAUAUUUCUUUAACAAUUUCUCUCUUAAAACUGAAUGAUUUGUCCAUCUCCUUCAGCUGACUGGGAUGGAACUAUUUCUUCAUAGCAUUAUGAGCUAUGUAUCAUUUUAUUUUAAUGGAUCUCUUAAGUCUCUUUCCUGGGAGGAACCUCAUGUCCAGUAUGCAGUGAUGUGAUCUGGUGGUUUCUGGUGGUUUCAACCACAUGAGAAAGUGAAUGUGGAUGUGGUGCUGUGAUUCCACUUCCAGGAAUAUCUGAGAGUGCAUCCAUCCUGUAACCACAAUGAGACUCCAGCAUAAUAUAGACACACCUGAAGUAAUGUUAAGCUGAGUAUCUCUGUCCAGACAUGCCAGCAUGAAGCCUUCCAGGACUGCAGUGACCAUGCCAAAAGUUGGUUCAUUUAGCUUUUGGUGAGCUUUGUGUUUUUUUGGUGAAAAUAUACCUCAGGUAACUUGUUUAAAACUAAGUGAACUUGUCUUUUAGCUGCCCUGCACUAACUCAGAUAGUUCCAAACCCCUCAGAGCACUGAAAAUGUUCUAACCACUUGAGAAAGAUUUGCUUCUAAGAUAUGCAAGAGCUGCGUGCUGGUCACAAUGAGGUUGCAUUGCCUCUUGGACUUGUGUCUUCAUUUACUAACAAAUUCCAGCUGCUUCCAGACAGGUUACUUGUAGAGAGAGAGCCAAGAGGGAGAUUAUUUGAUAGUCACUUAUUUGACUGCAGUUUUAUAUGUCCUAAAGGAUGUGUUUUAUAGGUAACUACAGGGGUUGCAGCAUGGAAACUUGGGUUCAAGUAGCUUUGAUUAAGAAAUAGAGAAGAAAAUGUGAUUUCCCUUUACAGUUACUUGCUGAACUAAACUGUGAUUAGAUUUCCAAGCAAAUUCUAAGUGCUACUGAAUUUUGUAUAGAGCUGUGCAUCUUUCUUAUUUGUUCAAGGCAGUGAUUACAGAGGACAGUCUGUAGAGCUUUUGCAGAUUAUCAGGAUUGCCAGCUAUGCUGCUGUGUUUCCUCUUAAAAAACGAUCAGGAAGGUGUUUUGGAAAAGUAUUUUUUGCGUCCUGCAGCUGUAGGGAAAAUGGGCAAGCUGUGCGGAUUUGCCUCUGGUAUUUGUCCUGCUUUUUCCUGAAAUAAUUUUACUCAGUAAACAUUUUUCAGAUGGUUUUCUGUGAUUCCUAUCCAGCCAUGGUGCACUAGGCUAUGAACAAAAUUGAAAACAAUGGAAGAGCUCAGCAAUACCCCCAUGAAAGCCAUCAGAUCAGAGUUUCAAAUUACCUAUACGCCUCAGCUGUGUCUAUAAAAUAAGUAAGUCAAUGAGAGGGCAAACAGUGAUUUAAGAUUUUGCCAAAUGAUUGUGGAGCCUUGGGUUCACAGGAGAAACUACAUGCAACUUUUUUUUCUAAUAAGAAUUUGUUUCAGGACAGUAAUGUCAAAUAUAGUAAAUAUGUGAGCCAAAAUACAAGUCUCUGCUAGACCAUUGCUGUGUCAGAAUAUUGUAUGGAAAAAAGGAAUCUAAAAGGGUUGAUGCCAAUUCAUUGUAGUAUGGAUGUGCCUGAGUGCUGGCUUAGAGCUGCAAUGCAGGGUUUUGUUUCUUAGGACAAGUAGCCCCAAAGGACUGAACAUGCAGUGUCAUUUCCUGGCCAAUCUGUAAGGCUCAGAUCCUUGACGCAGACUUUUUAUUCCUGAACAUCCAUGCAACUGUGCUCAGCAGCGAGUUGAGGUUUCCCUGCCCUGGAAGUGGGGUUGGUUGAGAUUUAGAUUGAUUAAGAUGCCAGUAUUUUGAAUGAUGGUUCUACACAUCAACUAGUUUGCUUUCAAAGGUAUGACCAAAGAUGCUUGUCUUAAGAUGCCUUUUUGCUGUGAGCCCCUUCUGCUGCUGCCCCCCCACACCACUUCCAGGUUGCCAUGGGGUUAGAUCUUACUUUAAAUCCUGGGAUAAGUCCAGGUGCACUUGUGUGCAAUUAUAGGCUUCUGUCCUUGGUGUGAGAACCACCAUGCUUUGUUUGUGUCUGCGAGACUGGAGAUGAAGCAGCUAAGGAAAGAUUGCAGUGUCCCAGCAGAGGCUUUGUGGAGAUGUUUUUGUGUGACAGGGUGUACCUGGUGACAGCAGGUAUCAGCACACAGGUCAUGGGACUACAUGAGAUGUGAUACAGGCUACUUGUGUAGCAGAGCAAAGGUAAAGAGACCUUGGAGUACUGCAAAUCAGUCACUACCAUCCAUCAGACACACACAGAAGAGGGAGCCACAGGCUUGUUGGGUGUGCAGUGCGAUUGGAGACAGCAAUUAGGCUGUAAUUAAGCAGCAAUAGCACUGAUAAAGAAGUGCCAGAGGCCAUUGAGGUCUAACAAGGCUUCUGAUAGAAAACCACAGCCCAUAAAAGUCAAAUCUUUUCCAAGGUCAGAGUUUCUGAAACCUUGGUAGACACUAAUCUGCCACUAAAAUCUGAUGAAAUGGAGUGAGCAUUUUAGGGAAUAUUAAAUACAUAAAUAAAGAGGAGCACUUUGGGUGGUCCUUUCAGCACAAACUUCUUUUUCUAAACAAUUCAACAUAAAUUUAGCUCAGUUUUCAGAAUUUUCAGAGGGAGAGGCCUCUAGAUUCUGCUAGACCCCUCUGAUUUUCCUGUCCCUGUUAGUUGGGUUGCACAGUCCAGGCUGGUCCCUAUAGAGUACAGGUAUAGAAAUCAACACAUUAGAAACCAAAAGCAAUUGACGCAUAAAAGAAACGCCUUCAAAUUAGAGCAACUUCCAGCUUUUUUGGCCACCUUAUUUUAAAUGACACUUUGAGAAAUUCUUCUUGACACAUUCAUGGGGAGGUAAGUCACUCAUUUAAUCACUUUAAAGCAUUAAAGUCUCUGGUUUUCUGACACUUGCUUGUUCUGUUGUGCAUUUCUAAAAAGCUGGUUGUCAGCAGAACAGAAUUCAAAAACAGAAAGUGUUGUUUUUCAUACAAACACUCAAGACUGCGAAUCAUUUUUACCUCUUCUUUGAAUAAGCAAUAUUCUGCUUCUGGAGAAUUGCAGGGUCUGGUUAGGUGCAUAUAGAAGUGUUCUGUACCCGUCUGAACAACACGCACUUCUGCUCCCUGGAAACAAAGAGGGAGACUUCAAAGGUGUCUGAUUAGUUGUCAGCCUGUUCUCUUGACAGUUUCCAACUUCUCUUUUUUAAAGCAGCCACUUCUGGAGUUGUGUGAAAGCCAGUUGAGCAGAGGAAUGCUUUGAUAUCAAAGUGCAGAGAAGGUUUCUGAGAAUACUAUGACUUAGGGAGUGGUGGUUACUACACACACUUUUCAUGAAGAAAGCAAUUGAGAAAGCUGCUUGAGUUUGAAGUCUGGAUUAUGAUACUGUUGCUCUUUGCUACAGUCUCUACCCAGUGAUGUCUGUCAGGUAACAGGUAGUCACAUGGAACUUGCCAGGCAAUUUGCUGGCUAACAUAAUUUAAUUCAAUUUUAAACAUGUGAUCAGCUGUUUUAAAGAUUUGAGACAAAUACUUCAACCUGUAUGAAAGAAACUUUCUAGUGUAUAAAGAAAACUUUCAGAGAACCGUGGAUAUCCACACUUCAUGGUCCAACUAGCAAACUGGACAGGUGAAUACCUACCUGUGCCUAGGUUUGACGUGCAAAACUCCAGCUUUGUUGGUAAUUCAUGAGCAUGAGAAAGAUUUUCAGUUUAUUAAUAACAAUUUCACAAUGGGAAAUUGGGAGAAAAAAGGAAGAAAGCUUUUUUUCUUUUUUAGAUCAACCGUGGAAUAGGACUGAGGCAGAGACCUGUUUGUUCUAAGAUCUUGUUGAUUUGUGGUGAGAAAUUUGAUCAAUUUUGCAACACAUUGCUUCAAAAUGAAUUUAUAAUCUUAAAUGUGCUGGAUUUUUAAGGCUUCUCAUUGCUUUUUAAAAUCCGUAAUAAUUGACUAUACCUCCAAUUUCUAUUCUAUAGUUUCAAUAGCAGAGUAGGAACUGGGGGUGUGGGAUACCAGAUUUAUGUUAUUGUGUCACCAGACUCUGGAUAACAUAACAAUGGAUGAUUACUUUUCUUCGCAGACUGAUAACAGUAGCAAAAAUAGUAACUGUAAGUCUAGAUUUAGUGUCAAAGUGAAAGUUAACCUUGUCUGAAAAAUGAAGAAAGACCAGUUAUCAGAGUAAAAACUAAUGCAUAAAUGGAAAGUUAAUGACAUAAAUUUAUAUUCCAUGCUUGCUGAUUUUAUUUUUAAGUCACUGAUGUUAAUAGGGGUUUAAAUCACUUAAAUUCAUCCUCUGUCUUUCCCUUGCAAUUCAAAGCAAUGAAAACCAGUGCUUCUAAGAAUAUACUAGAGGGACCCAAGCUGUGUUUUCCCUUGUCAUUUCUGUGUAACAGGUCAUUCUACCCUGGUGAAGCCUUGUGCCUUCAUGCUCUUCUGAUCAGUACAGCACAGCUUAGUCUCCAAUCUAUUGUUCUGUAAAACUUUAUGGAGUGUUCUAUUUCAGCAUGUUCUCUUGAUGGAUUUUCUGUUGUUCUCAUUAAUGAAUGUGUUUGCACUGCUUGCUGUUUCAUAAGGCUCUUGCUAAAGACUCAACUGUUCCAACAUGGCUGUGUUUUCUCUCACCAUAAAAUACUGUCUGUUCAUGGAAUCACUACAAAAAGAAGAAUAAACUCUCCUUCUAGAAUUAGCUACCCUUGAACCCAGCAAUCAUUGUACUGUUGUCGUAGUGCCUACAUUGUAUUUUAGUGUCUUCAUGCAAUAGCUUUGAUCCUAAUCUUGAGCCAUGAAGUUACUCAGUCCUGGUUUAGUGCAGUGCUGGCAGGAUAGGCUGGAUUUGGAAUCUGAGGCCUGAAAAUCCUUCUCUUAGCAUCACUACAGACACAGUGUAGUACAGUGCCCUGUGUGAAAGUGGGGGGAAAGGGUCACAAUUGUGCAAGCAUGUUUUUCCAAGGAGCCUUUCUGCCCCUUGGGAAUCAGCAGAUUUUUACCAGUAACACAUCCAUGAUUUAAAGGCUGGUUGAUCUGAGGAAGUGAAGCCUUCCUGGGUUUCUCUGUAAGAAUUAAAAAUUUUAAGUGGGGGUAGUACAGAGCAAAUAAGGAAGAAAACUUGACAUAAAGAGCUGGAUUUCUGAACUACAAAGAAUGAGUUUGGCUUCCCAAAACUUCAGGUAGAGAAUGAUCCUGACUCAUGGUGGUGGUGUGCUUCCAGUUUUCUGGCUGGGUUAGCUCUCACCUGCUGUGAUGGGAAGAUGCUUGUUUUAUAAGAGCAGCUCAGUCCAGGCCUGGAUGGUCGUCAUCCUGCUUCAUGUAGCAUCACUUGUAGUUGAAGUGGUGCAGGUCAAAUCACACAGUCUCUGACACUGGCACUUCCCUGUUUGCCACAAUAUGGCUGUGAGUCUUUAAAAACACUCAACAGUUACAUUCUGGUUGUGGGAAAGGAUUCUGCCACAGGAUUACAUUGCGCACUGCCCACCAGGAAGAUGUUCCCAGAUGUUCCUAGAUGUUAAGGAGUGUGUUUGGCCAUUAAGAUUUGUGGAUUCUACAAUAAUAUUUUUAGAACUGAUUUCCAGAUGUAGAGCCAUGCUUUAAUUUCUAUGGAGGACUGGUCGGCUGACCCUUGUAAAUGCAUGAUUUGGCUUGAAGGAGGCACAUCUGUAUCUAAUUAAAAAUUAAAAACCUGCAUUUUAAUAGCUUCAGGUGAGCAAAAGAGGACUUGAAUGCAGAGGCUGUGUUUUGAUGUAUGGAUGGUGGGGAAAGGGAGAAAAAAGGUGGCCCUGGGAAACCUCUCACUAAUAUCUGCCAGUUUCUGAGGCAUGUGCACAAAAGCCCACAAUGUUUCAGUUAUUCAGUAUUGUUCAGAUUUCUAGAGGUAAAUGCUCUUACACUCAUCCUGAUUGAAAUGCAGGUGAAUGCCCAGAAUGCCAUCGAUUUGCCUCGCUUAGCUGUGGGGUAAGUACUACUUUGAAGCAUCUCUGUGGCACACAGGAAAAUGACAGCGUAUUUUCAGCAGCAUGUUGAAACGUGGAAGUGUCUUGUGAGAUAAUGGUUGAAGUGCAGAUCCUCCCUCCAUGGCACGGUUUGGUUGCAGAGGGACAGGCGGCUUAUGUGACAGUGAAUCUGUCCAUUACCCCUUGACAUAUGUUUUUGUUGUCUGAUACAAGAGAAUUUUAGAGCUCUUCUUGAAAACUAAUUAGGAUUCCUUAUUUCAGGGUUCACUAGAAAACACAGCGUUAGAGUAGAGAAGACCCAAAUGAGUGGGAAGGAUGAGCAGAAUUCAGGCAGGCUGGUGUUUGCAUAGCAGCUGCUUGCAAACUGGACCAUGCACUGAGGUGUGAGCAAUGCUUUCUCCUUCCUGACAGUGGUGUUCCAGGAGGGGUAUUGAAGGGUGGACGGUGAAUUAAAAAAAAAAUCUAAGCAACAGAUGAAAUUGUUCUGUUGCAAUAAUGCUGGCUCUUCCCCCUUUUACACAGACUCCAAUGGAAUGGAAGAUGUGUUUAGGAGAAAAACAGUAUUGGAGAAACCUGCACGAGUGUUUCUGACCCUUUAAAUGGGUCAGCUACCACCACAUCAUAGCAGAAUCCAGCCACUCAGGUCCUGCUGUGCUCCAUUGUAAUUAGCAGAGUUCCUUCUUUUCUUUGUAUGAAUUCAUUUCAAAAUCUAAAUCAAAAUAAAAAUUCAUUUGCCUCUGCAGCUCUGA